rnacentral:lncRNA from 1 species
UAUAUAUGUAUACAAGAUGACAGCUUGCACGAGAACUACAAAUUUAGUCUAUAUACAUGGCUUGAAAAUUACUUCACAAUUAUCAAGGUACAAGCCAAAUCAGAACACAAGAACAAAAGUUGAUGGCCACUCUAGUAGUGUAUCGAAGCAAAGCAAGGUUAUUAAGGUACAAGCGGAAGUCUGAAGUUUCUUUUCUUCAUUGGUUCAUCUUGUACAGAUUGCAUUCUCAGGCUAGGAGAACCAAAAAUGUAUCACCAUGAAACAGAAGGCACUACUUAACUAUAAAAUCCUACCACAUACCCUCCAACAAUUUCAUAUUUAAUAUCUUCGAAGCAAAUGAGAAGCAUGUCUAUGUUUCUUGUGAUCUUAAUUAGUGUAUGCAAGCUUGAACACGCAUAUACAUAAUAGUAAAAGGUCACCUUAGUUUAUCCAAGCUAUAAUACUUCAUGCACACAAUUAAUUAAGUAUGACAUGGGAUCUCAGGGGACUUACAUGUACACCAUGGAGUAGCAAUUUCUAAGCUAUUUUGAUGGAAUUGCAUAAGGCCAGAUUUUUUAUCAAACACCUCAGCAAACAUAUGGAAGGCACACCUACAACAGGAAUGUUUCAGCAUCUACACCUAUGGGGCAGCAUGCCAUGUAACAAGAAAUCAGAGAAAGAGAGUCAUAGUGAAACCCAGGACAUAAGCAAGAAGAUAAAUUGGAUUGUUUCUAUAUCAAAUCAAGGCCUACAAAUGUGCAGAGACAUUCAAACCCAGGACGUUGUGAUUUACAAACAUCAAUAUUACAUCACUUUGAAUUUUCUUGGAACCGUUCUGAAAAAUCAGCCUCCGCUUUCUGUGUAUGUAUACGCUUGCAUAAACAAUAUAUACCAAUGACCUCCACUAAACAAUGGCAUUAAAAAACCAAGUUAACCACCAUUAGAACAAAUCUAGAUAAUAACAAAGAUAUAUCAGCUGAGCAAAAUAUGGAUGCUCAAGGCACGUGUAGAUACAAACUAUGGCCAAACUAUUUUAAGAGGACUUAAGAGGGCAAAUCUUCAAGCACUAUACGUAUCUAAGUCUGCACUAGUUUCCAUUAUAAACAAAUAAAACAAAGUAAAGGGCGGGAAAAGGUUUAUUUUUACAUACUGUCAGACGGAGGCAUUUACUACGUAAUAUCCUGAACUUGGUGACAUGUACUGUAAACAAGGAAUUCAUCAUCAAAUUGUGAUAUAUUAAAUUGAGGAAAGAUCAGGAGCCUACUUGUAUGUGCAUCAAUUAUAGAAGCGGAUGAAGUACAAGGAUGUCAGAUACUUCUAGUUACGCAUAUAAAAAAUAGUAUCAUCGAUUGUAUAAGCAGCUUGGCAUUAACCCAGUAACAAUCAAGCAUGAGUUGUACCAGAUUUUGAUUUUACCAAUAACCGAGAAUACAUAGUCGUCAGCUAUUUUGGCUUCUCGUUUUCCUUCCAAGUAGUCUUUUUCUUCCAAAGGGACUUGUCUUUCAUAACAAAACGUACAAAAAUACAACACGUAUAUUUAUUUGCUGAUAACAAAUGGGAUCAAACUAAGCAUUCCAUGGCAACAAGUAGCAGCCUCAUCUUGGUACAAUAGCAUGAAAAUUCACGUGGCAUAAUUUUCAUCAACUUGAUUGUGUGGAAAUCAAUAUGAUGGCUAUUUUCACCACAUAACAAAUAGAAAGUUUGCACAUAUUAUAUAACAGAGAAGCAGUGUAAUAGCAUGCCUAGUUAACAAACAAUCUACUCUUGGCCAAUCAAUUCAGUGAGAUGAAUGAAUUACUUUCCCUCCAUAAACAAAAAAAAUUGAAGGAACCAACAGGAGCAUCUCAUGGACAUUUACUUAUUAAACUAGUAGUUGCCUAGAGAACUAUCCAAGAGCACAGCAGAAAUCAUUUGGAAAGAAAAGAAAAUAAAGCGAGAGGGUCGACCUUCUUGUUAUGUGGGGAAUCAUGGUGGGCGGGGCAGAUGACCUCGCUGUCGAUCUCGUCCAGCUCGUGGGGCUUGAGCGUGGGGUCCUGGUCGGUGCCGUGCAUGGAUCUAGAGAGGGGGAGAGCUCCUGCUGACCUAAAUCAAAGGAAUAAAAGUCUAUUGGAAUGGGGAGAGAAGGAAGGAACGAAGGACAGAGGAAUCGAUGGGGAGAAGUAGGGAGGGACCCUGUGCGGUGCGUCGUCGUCGCCGGCGAGCUCGAGCUCGGGCCUCUCGCAGGUCACGGUCGUCGUCCUCUCCUCGUUCGGCGCUUGCUGCUGCGAAUCUCCGGAUGGUGAGGCAGCUUCACGACCUGGGAGAUGGAGCAGGGAGGCCCCUGCCACAGAUCCAUGGACCUGGUCCUUGGUUGUGAGCAGCAGAGGCGCGCCGCAGCGGCUAGGGUUAGCCACCGCUUCCAUCGGGCCACUACUGCCGCCGUCGCCAUGGAUCUCGGGCUGCCGUCAUCGAUUGGAGGCAGGGAGGUGGAGGCAGAGGACCGGGACGAGGAGAGGAGAGAUGUGGCGGCGGCGGAUGGAGGAAGGAGGAAGGAGAUUGGGGCAGUAGUGUGUUAGGUUUAGGUUAUAUAUACAGGAAACAUUUAGGGCUUUAGGCGGGCUUGCGGGGUUGUACUGGGCCGUUCAUGACGAUUUCAGAAACUGUCACCGGAAAUCCGUCAUGCAUUAACAGGUUUCUUGUAGUGAUUGAUCCCAAGUUUAAACCGGUCAGGCAGUAUCUUUGCCGCUUUAACGAAGAAAGACGCAAGGCCUUUGGUGAGGAGGUAGCCCGGCUAUUGGCUACUGGGUUUAUCAUUGAAGUAUUUCACCCUGAGUGGUUGGCAAAUCCGGUGCUUGUUCUUAAGAAAAACGGCACUUGGCGUAUGUGUGUGGACUACACAGAUUUAAACAAAGCCUGUCCAACAGAUCCUUUUGCUCUCCCGCGUAUUGAUCAGAUCAUUGAUGCAACAGCAGGUUGUGAUUGUUUGGGUUUCUUGGAUGCAUAUUCAGGUUAUCAUCAGAUCAAAAUGGCAGUUAAGGACUAGGAGGAAACAGCUUUCAUCACCCCCUUUGGAGCUUUCUGCUAUGUUUCGAUGCCUUUUGGGCUCAAGAGUGCCCAGGCAACCUACUAGCUUUGUGUGCAAAAUUGUCUUCACAAACAGGUUGGGCGUAAUGUGCAUGCCUAUGUGGAUGACAUUGUGGUAAAAUCCAGGAAGGAGGAAACCUUGAUAGAUGAUCUCAAGGAGACAUUUGACAACCUUCGGGUUUAUAAAAUAAUGCUCAAUCCGGAGAAGUGCGUUUUUGGUGUUCCGGCAGGCAAGCUCUUGGGAUUUCUUGUUUCCAACAGAGGUAUUGAGGCCAAUCCGGAGAAAAUCAAGGCGAUCACAUCCUUGGCUAAACCGGCGUGUAUCAAUGACGUUCAACGUCUGGCAGGCUGGAUCGUAGCCCUCAGCCGGUUUAUCAGCCGUUUGGGAGAGAAGGCGAUUCCUCUAUAUCAGAUGUUAAAGAAGAUAGAUAACUUUGUCUGGAGUAAUGCAGCCAAUACGGCCUUUGAGGACUUGAAGCGGCAGCUGGCUGAACCGCCGGUCCUUGCUGCUCCAGUUGAUAAUGAGCCCUUGUUAUUGUACGUAGCUGCCAAUGCCCGUGCGGUCAGCGUGGCGAUCGUAGUUGAGCGCAAGGAGGCUGGGAAGGAAUAUCCGGUUCAACGGCCAGUUUAUUAUAUUAGUGAGGUGCUGAUCGAAUCAAAGCAAAGAUAUCCGCAUUGGCAGAAGCUGGUAUAUGGAGUUUUUAUGGCCAGUAGAAAGCUCAAGCAAUACUUUUAGGGCCAUCCCAUCACAGUAGUUAGCUCUGCUCCUUUGGGUGAUAUAAUAUAGAACAGAGAAGCAACUGGCCGGGUUGUGAAGUGGGCAAUUGAGCUUAGUCCGCAUGGGUAAAGUAUGUGCCCCGGCGGCCAUCAAAUCUCAAGCACUUGUUGAUUUCAUCAAUGACUGGACCGAGUUGCAGGCACCAGAGGACAAACCGGAUAAUACAUAUUGGACUAUUCACUUUGAUGGGUCCCGGCAACUGGAAGGCUCGGGGGCUGGAGUUGUCCUUACUUCCCCUCGAGGUGAUAAAAUUCGUUAUGUUCUCCGCCUAAUGUUUCCUUGUACUAACAAUGCAGCAGAGUAUGAGGCCUUGCUUCACGGACUCCGUGUAGCUAAGGAAAUGAAUUUGAGCCGGGUUAGAUGCCUUGGAGAUUCCGAUUUGGUGGCUCAGCAAGUUUCUGGCACUUGGGAUUCUAAGGACCCACUCAUGGCGGCUUAUAGACGCGAGGUUGACAUGGUAGCAGGUCACUUCAAAGGUUAUCAGGUGGAGCACAUUGACCGGCGUAGAAAUGAAGCAGCAGACGCUUUAAGCCGGCUGGGGUCUCAGCGUAAACCGGUACCACCCAAUACCUUUCUUGAUAUCCUGCAUAACCCGUCUGUUAAGUUACCUUCAGAGGAGGAUUUAGCUGUUCCUGAUCCGGAGGCUCAAUUGGUGGCCGCUUUACAUAUCAUUCUGGAUUGGACAGUCCCAUAUCUGGCAUAUUUAAACCGGGGCGAGUUACCAGACGACGAGCUCUUUGCCAGGCAGAUAGUACGAAGGUCCAAGUCCAUGGUGGUUCGUAAUGGUGAGUUGCACCGUUGUAGCGUUUCAGGCGUAUUUCAACGUUGUGUUUCUCCUGAAGAAGGACAAGAGAUCCUACGAGAAAUCCAUGAAGGGGAUUGCGGUCAUCAUGCUGGUCCAAAGUCCUUGGUAGCAAAAGCUUUCCGUCAUGGGUUCUACUGGUUGACAGCUCAUGCUGAUGCGGAGGAUCUGGUAAAGCGAUGUGAUGCUUGUCAAAAAUUCUCACGGCGAUCUCAUGUUCCGGCUCAAGAGUUACUCAUGAUUCCUAUCACUUGGCCGUUUGCUACAUGGGGGCUUGAUAUGGUUGGACCCUUUAAGCGCUCUAAGGAUAAGAAGACACAUCUAUUGGUGGCGGUUGACAAGUUCACUAAAUGGGUUGAAGCGGAGCCCGUCAGCAAGUGUGAUGCAGCCACAGCGGUUCAAUUUCUUAAAAAGGUCAUUUUCCGCUUUGGUUUACCGCAUAGCAUCAUCACAGACAAUGGCACAAACCUAUCCAAAGGUGAGAUGGAGGAAUUUUGUCAACAGAACACAUCCGGCUCGACUUAGCAUCUGUGGCUCACCCCCAAACCAACGGUCAAGCUGGGCGGGCGAAUCAAGAAAUCUUGAAGGGCAUCAAGCCUCGACUUAUGGUUCCUUUGCAGCGCACACUGGGUUGUUGGGUGGAGGAGUUGCCGUCUGUGUUAUGGAGUAUAAAUACCACUCCAAACCGGUCUACGGGUUAUACCCCCUUUUUCAUGGUUUAUGGAGCUGAGGCUGUCAUCCCAAGUGAUAUUCGUCACGAUUCGCCGAGAGUUGUGAACUAUGUUGAAGCGGAUAAUGAGAAAGCGCGCCAGGAGGCGCUGGACCUAUUAGAUGAGAAACGGGACAUGGCUUUGGCUCGUUCGGCGGUUUAUCAACAAGACCUGCGGCGUUAUCACAGCCGCCGGGUUAAGACAAGAACCUUUCAAGAAGGUGACUUGGUGCUCCGGCUUAUCCAAGAUCAGACUGAUAUGCACAAGUUAUCCCCGCCUUGGGAAAGACCCUUUGUGGUCAGCAAAAAUCUGCACAACGGAUCAUACUACCUCAUUGACGUUUGAGACAACUCACGCAGCUCUGAGGAGGAGACCCGACGGCCAUGGAACAUAGCUCUUCUACAACCUUAUUACACUUAAAGUCACAGGCUUCUUUUAUGUAUAUAUUUCUGCUAUGUAUAUACUUUGAUUAAUAAACCGGCACCCUUGCUACAAGCAGGGUCUCCGCCGUUUUUUUCCUUCGAAAAUUUUGUGUACUUGGGGGCUUCAGCUUACAAAGCAAAUACCUACCUGUUAAACCGGCUAUUAUGCCACAACAUAAGCUUGGGAGCUUCACACCCAAGGGGCCAAAGAGUAUUGUUGCUAUGCACAGCUCAAACAUAGGCACCCAUUGAGCACAGCUCACAAAGCUACUUGGGGGCUCUUUGCAUCAAAUACCAAAGAGUUUGAAAGGACCCUUGUAACGGGGUAUCAACCCACGGGUUGGAAGCCUGGUGUAUUCACCUAAAACCCCAGGUUCACCUGCCUUCAUCAAGUAAGUCACUCCUAUCCAGGUAAUCCUGGCACGACCUGUCGAAUGUUUGACAGUCAUUCUCAUUGAGACGCUGAACUUGUCGAAGUUAAAACGAUGAUUGGUUAGUUGGAGGUCCAUCUUAAAAGGCUUUGUCAAAAUGGUUUAACUCAGUGGCCUGGCAGCCCAUGAAAAGCCUCGAAUUUGGGCCUGGCAGCCCUUGAAAAGCCUCGACUACAAGUUUUAUUUGCUUUUGCUUUUUGCUAAGUUUUUGGUUUAAUCAUGUUGUGUAUGUUAAACCGGUGAUUAUUAUCCCGGUACGGCUUACAGGUAUUCCUGUUAAAGCAGGCAAAUCAAGGUAAACCGGAAUUCCUUAAACCGGUCUGGCUUUGACAAGUGGUCGCCAGCGGUUAUACGGUGUUUAUUACAACCCGGCUAUAUCUCAUAUGUACCAGCAUUGCAUGGUGGAAAUAAGGUGUUUACUCUUACUAUAAUCAAAGUUGGUAUUCCAGCAAGUAUAUUUUCAUAUCACGGGUAUGAUUUACUUUUUAGCAACCUAGGUUGUCUAUCAAGUUGUGUUGGGCAUUUUGACCCGUCCGGCGGUAAACCGCCCGGACGGAUUUCUUCUGUGCAGACACAGGAGUUGCAUAAAAUUGCAAAGGAUUAUGAGCAACUACUGAAAAUUAUUACGGCGGAUCAAGAAAACAGUAUCGCAGUGCACGAUGGCAGCAGAUCAAAGUAUUUGUGCUAGCCUAUUACAAGGCGCUUUAAAGGCCCAAAAUAUGUUGUUUUUCAACAAGGUAAAAUCUACGACGAAUAAAACAGAUCGCCGGAUCAAGCUUCAUCUCCAUGUUGCCGUGAAGUAGAAGGAUUGUUUGACGUCGGUUCAGCCUCCUCCUCUUCCUCUAGUGGCUUGAAGUCCACGUUGGUCCAGUCAAUCCGGGUUAAGGCCUGAAAGACAGCUCUUCAUCGAUAAGUUCUGCCGGAUCAACAUCAGGGGCAAAAGUGUGCUUAUGGAUUGGCGGAAUCAGAUUUUGCACUUCUGGGAUGGCAGGGUUUAUCCGCUUGUUGUCUGCAUCAUAAAAAGACCGGUGCACAUCCAGAUUGGCGUCGUCCGCCAGUUGACUUGCCAGAGGGCGCAUUUCCUUUGUGACCUUUUUAAGGGCUUCAUCGUCAAACUCCGCCCCAUUCUCUUGUGUGCUGGGGAGGCCCUUGGCAAGGUCCGCCGGAUCAAGAUCAGCUAUCCAUGCUUUGGCCCGGGUAAGUGCUAACAAUGCGCCAGCUCUAGUAGCAGAUCGCUUUACCUCUCCUAUUUGUGUCGAAGUCAUGGACAGCCUUGCCAGAGUAUCCUUGAUCAGUAUUGGGGCCGGUUUGUUAUAAGAGGCUGCGCAGAUAACUCGUUGGGCACCGGUAUAUAGCUGUUCAAUCAAGGUGUAUGCAGCUUUCAGCUUCAUCCGUAUGUCAGAGCCCAGGUGGUUAAUGCGGCGACCUGCAGCGGUUUAAGAUAUGCUUUAGUUAAACCGCCAACUUACAAAAUGAUUAUAUUAAGUACUGAUGGGAGUACUUACCAAAGACAGCAGAAGUCAUAGCGUGCACUUGACGUUUCAGCCCCGACAGCUCUUCUACCACCGUUUAAGAGCCGCUUCAACGUCUUCAGCUCGCUUCAGCAGGGCAUUUCGCUCUGUCUCCCAGUUGGUACGCUUAGUCUUGAAUCCUUCUUUUAAUUGUUCCAUGGAAGUUAAAGCGGCUUUCAGCUCAUCCUUGGCCUUGGAAGACUCUUCUUGCUGGGAUUUGAUGCUUUCUUGAAGAUCAGCGAUUUGAGUGCAUUGGUGGUUUAUGUCAGCUUGCCAAAAUCAUAGGAGCAUAUAAGUAUUUUCAUUAAGUCCCAAGCAUAUAACUGGUUAUGUACUUGGCACUUGGGGGCUAAUGUGGAUUGCUUCUGUGUAACGGUUUGAUUUCAAGUCCCAAGGAUUAAUACAAGUUUUAAUCUUGGCACUUGGGGGCUAAUGCACAUUGGAUCAAGAGUAUAUACAAGGAAAUACUAAGAUUAAGCAUGGAAAAUCACAAGUCCCGGUUUAUCUUUGCAAGUUAAACCGGUACUUGGGGGCUACAAGGCAGUGAUUGUACAAGGGAAUAUUUACCUCAUAGUCGCGGCUUGUAUAUAGCCGGUUCAACAAUCCGGAAUGAAGUUCUUGAGCAGAGAGAUUGGUAUACUUGGACAGAUCAGUUUCCACCUUCCCCUUUCCCAUGGCUAUAAACUCCUCCUUGGCGGUGUGUUUUGCCAGGAUAACCGGAUUACUCGGAGCAGUAAAGCAUGUGCCGGUGACAACAACAUCGUCAUUAUACUUUGCCGGACUUGUUGUGACAACAGGACUUGGCGGAUUGGCAUUGGGGCUGGCAGGUGUAGCAUGUGGAGUUGAAGUGCCCACAUCUGGUUCCGGGUCAGCUUCUGGCGGGUUAGCAUUGACAAUUGGCUCUGGCAGAACAGAAUCAUCCAUGAUAUUGUCAAGAUUUUCAUCAGCAUUAUCAGGAGUCUUCUCCGGUUCAACCUCGCCAGAAGGAGUGUUGCUUUUAGCCUUUUUGCUCAAUCGAGCUUUGGCACUGAGUAUCAAAACAAGAUUUAGUAUGGUAAACCAAACUGUAAAGGGAAAAUGAGAAGCUAUAUACUUACCCAGGGACGGUUUUCAACGGAGGCAACUGGGUGGUUGACGAGCCGCCAGACGAGUUAGAAGACACCUGGUAAUUUGAGUCAGACGGAUUGGGAGGGCAUCGGAAGAAACCCUUCAAAGGAUAAAGUUUUUCAGGAGAACAAGCAACCUCUGGACGACGUUUCCGGGUUGGCGUAUGAGGUAAACCGGAAGAGGUGACUUGUUGACCGCUGUGCCGGGUUGUGCGGCGCCCUUCGGGUUGCUGUGUCUUUAAACAAAUUGUUGGAUCCAAAUGAGCAAGAGGGUGAGAGUGUUUAACUUUUCGAACUGCACGGCGAAAUCUUUGAACCGGCACAAGUUCUGAGUCGGAAAUACAUAUUACCUCAACAUGUUCUGCGUGGCUGGCCUCUGCAUCAUCCUGGGAGCAAUCAUUGUCAAUAAGGUGUAUAAAAUAAAGGCCAAGGGAGUCAAGUUCUACCUCUUCAGCUGACUCAUUAACAUCUUCUGGCACGUCAGAAGAUUCAGCAGUUUUCCUCUUGUCAGCUCUCUUGGUGACCUUGCUCUUAACACGAGGAGCCUUGGCCGGUUUAUCUUGAAGUUUCUUUUUCUAGAAGGAGCUAUCUGCCUGUAAGAUAGUGCAAAGGAUUAUUAUAACAAAGUUAAAGCGGAGCAGGGUCAAGGAAAUACAAAGCUAAAGUGUUUACCGCUGGCAGUUUGUUGGAGGCAUAGAAGGGGCGCAGACCGGUUUGAGUGCACACAGUGAGGUUUUCGUCAAGUAUCUUCUUCAAACUUUCAGUGACCUCAUCUUUAGUCAAUUCUAUUUGAUUGAACCGUUGCGGAUCAUAUGUCUUGUCAGUGUAUUCACACAUCAAACCGGGGCAGCGGCUUAAGGGCAGAAUGCACCAUGAAACCCAGCAACGUACAAGAUCAACGCUAGUUAAACCGUUGGCCAUAAAAGCUCGGAGCUUGACAAGUUGGGAAGCAUAGGCUUGACGUUCUUUAGCUGUCAACCGUGGAGGUAAAGGGUGGCUAUUGCUAAGCCGGUAUGGCCGGUAACCCGGCAGAGGGUUCUCAUCAGUAGGAGCAGUAUUUUGACAGUAAAACCACGUUUGGUUCCAGUCCUUUGGGUGGCUAUGAAGUUUGGCCUGAGGAAAUUCAACUUCUUUUAUCUUCUGAAUUGACACGCCGCCAAGUUCAGUAUUGGGGCCGUCAGCAAAUUCGGUCCGGCGGUAUAAAUGGAAGAGAUCCCGGAAUAGCUCCACAGUUGGCUCUUCCUGCAGAUAAACUUCACAGAAACCCUGGAAAUCGCAUAUAUUGGAUACCGAAUUUGGUCCUAUGUCUUGAGGAUGAAGUUGGAAGCUAGCAAGCACAUCCAGGAAAUUUUUUGAUCCAGGGGGAGUAAAACCUCGGCCCAGGUGUUGCAGGAAUACAAUCACCUCUCCCUCUUGGGGUUCAGGAGGGCAUUCAGGGCCAGGAACCCGCCACUGAAGAACAUUCUGUGGAGCUAAAGCGCCUGUGACGACAAAGUUGUUGAUCUGUGUCUCAGUAAUCCGGGAUGGGACCCAGUUACAGGCAGCAAAUUGCGGUGCCAUCGUACAAAGUCUGUAAAAAGUAAAAGGGCGGUUUAUAAUCGUUGAUCCAGGAGGUUUCAUCUAUGCUAAAUCGACAUAUAAUGUUAAACCAAAAAGUUAAUCAAAGUGUACAUACAAGGUGAACCGGGCAUUACUAUUCAAAGGUAUACGGCGAUUUAAGUGAGGGCUAAUGGCAUAUGAGGAAUUAUCAACUAUCACAGGUUAAACCACCCCUCAGUGAAAGGGGGCAGAUCUGAAAUCUACUAAGUGUUGACAGAAACAGGUUUCACAAGGCAGGAGUGUAAAUUUGGAUAUGCGGUGGUUCAGUAAGGAAAUUUUUCUCAGCCCUACAAUGGCGAUAAAGAGGAACAAACAGUCCCGAGACAGUUCUUUUAAAAAACAGCAAGAGGGUGUGAUGUGAUACUUCUCCAACGUAUCUAUAAUUUUUGAUUGCUCCAUGCUACUUUAUCUACUGUUUUGGACUAUAUUGGGCUUUAUUUUCCACUUUUAUAUUACUUUUGGGACUAACCUAUUAACCAAAGGCCCAGCCCAGAAUUGCUGUUUUUUUUGCCUAUUUCAGUAUUUCGAGGAAACAAAAUAUCAAAUGGAGUCCAAACGGAAUGAAACCUUCGGGAACGUGAUCUUCUCACCGAACGUGAUCCAGGAGACUUGGACCCUACUCCAAGAAGUUUUCGGGGAGGUCACGAGGGUGGAGGGCGCCCACCCCCUGGGCGCACCCCCUGCCUCAUGGGCCCCUCGGAGCUCCACCGACAUGCUCCUUCCUCCUAUAUAUACCUACGUACCCCCAUUAGACUAGGGACGGAGCCAAAAACCUAAUUCCACCGCCGCAACUUCCUGUAUCCACGAGAUCCCAUCUUGGGGCCUGUUCCGGAGCUCCGCCGGAGAGGGCAUCCAUCAUGGAGGGCUUCUACAUCAACACCAUAGCCCUUCCGAUGAAGUGUGAGUAGUUUACUUCAGACCUUCGGGUCCAUAGCUAGUAGCUAGAUGGCUUCUUCUCUCUUUUUGGAUCUCAAUACAAUGUUCUCCCCCUCUCUCGUGGAGAUCUAUUCGAUGUAAUCUUCUUUUUGCGGUGUGUUUGUUGAGAGCGAUGAAUUGUGGGUUUAUGAUCCAACUUAUCUAUGAAUAAUAUUUGAAUCUUCUCUGAAUUCUUUUAUGUAUGAUUGAGUUAUCUUUGCAAGUCUCUUCGAAUUAUCUGUUUGGUUUGGCCAACUAGAUUGGUAGUUCUUGCAAUGGGAGAAGUGCUUAGCUUUGGGUUCAAUCUUGCGGUGUCCUUACUCAGUGACAGAAAGAGUUGCCAGGCACGUAUUGUAUUGUUGCCAUCGAGGAUAACAAGAUGGGGUAUUUAUCAUAUUGCAUGAAUUUAUUCCUCUACAUCAUGUCAUCUUGCUUAAGGCGUUACUCUGUUUUUAACUUAAUACUCUACAUGCAUGGUGGAUAGCGGUCGAUGAGUGGAGUAAUAGUAGUAGAUGCAGGCAUGAGUCGGUCUACUUGUCACGGACGUGAUGCCUAUAUACAUGAUCAUACCUAGAUAACCUCAUAACUAUGCUCAAUUCUAUCAAUUGCUCAACAGUAAUUUGUUCACCCACCGUAGAAUAUUUAUGCUCUUGAGAGAAGCCACUAGUGAAACCUAUGGCCCCCGGGUCUAUUCUCAUCAUAUCAAUCUCCAUUACUUUAUUUUACUUGUUUUGUUUUUACUUUUCACGUUGCAUCUUUAUACCAAAAAUAUUAUCUCUAUCAGAUCUCACUCUCGUAAGUGACCGUGAAGGGAUUGACAACCCCUAAGCGUUGGUUGCGAGUUGCUACCGUUUUGUGCAGGUACGAGGGACUUGCGCGUGACCUCCUACUGGAUUGAUACCUUGGUUCUCAAAAACUGAGGGAAAUACUUACGCUAUCGUGCUGCAUCACCCCCUCCUCUUCGGGGAAAACCAAUGCUAGCUCGAGACGUAGCAAGAAGGAUUUCUGGCGCCAUUGUCGGGGAGGCCUACGCAAAAGUCAACAUACCAAGUACCCAUCACAAUCUCUAUCUCUCGCAUUACAUUAUUUGCCAUUUGCCUCUCGUUUUCCUCUCCCCCACUUCACCCUUGCCGUUUUAUUCGCCCUCUCUUUCCCUUUGCCUUUUGUUUGCUCGUGUGUUAGUUUGCUUGCUUGUCGUGAUGGCCCAAGAUGCUACCAAAUUGUGUGACUUCACCAAUACCAAUAACAAUGAUUUCCUUUGCACUCCGAUUGCUCCUCUUGCCAAUACUGAAUCUUCUGAAAUCAAUACUGCUUUGUUGAAUCUUGUUAUGAAAGAUCAAUUCGUCGGCCUUCCUAGUGAAGAUGCCGCUACUCAUCUAAAUGGCUUCUGUUGAUUUAUGUGAUAUGCAAAAGAAAAAGGAUGUCGAUAAUGAUGUCGUUAAAUUGAAGCUAUUUCCUUUUUCGCUUAGAGAUCGUGCUAAAGCGUGGUUUUCUUCUUUGCCUAAAAAUAGUAUUGAUUCUUGGAACAAGUGCAAAGAUGCUUUUAUCUCUAAGUAUUUUCCUCCCGCUAAGAUUAUCUCUCUUAGGAACAAUAUUAUGAAUUUUAAGCAACUUGAUCAUGAACAUGUUGCACAAGCUUGGGAGAGAAUGAAAUUAAUGCUACGUAAUUGUCCUACUCAUGGUUUGAACUUAUGGAUGAUUAUACAAAAAUUUUAUGAUGGAUUGAAUUUUGCUUCUAGAAAUCUUUUAGAUUCGGCCGUGGGAGGCACUUUUAUGGAAAUCACUUUAGGAGAUGCUACUAAACUCCUAGAUAAUAUUAUGGUCAAUUAUUCUCAAUGGCAUACUAAAAGAUCUACUAAUAAAAAAGUGCAUGCUAUAGAAGAAAUCAAUGUUUUGAGUGAAAAGAUGGAUGAACUUUGGAAUUUAUUUGUUAAGAGUGUUUCUUCUGAUCCCAAUAAUAUGCCUUUAUCUACUUUGCUUGAGAAUAAUAAUGAAUCUAUGGAUGUGAAUUUUGUUGGUAGGAAUAGUUUUGGUAACAACGCGUAUAGAGGGAAUUUUAAUUCUAGGCCUUAUCCUAGUAAUCCUUCUAAUAAUUAUGGAAAUUCCUACAACAACUCUUAUGGAAAUUUUAAUAAGAUGCCCUCUGAAUUUGAGAGUAGUGUUAAAGAGUUUAUGAAUUCGCAAAAGAAUUUCAAUGCUUUGCUUGAAGAGAAAUUGCUUAAAGUUGAUGAUUUGGCUAGGAACGUUGAUAGAAUUUCUCUUGAGGUUGAUUCUUUAAAGAUUAGAUCUAUUCCUCUUAAGCAUGAUAUCAAUGAGUCUCUCAAAGCCAUGAGAAUUUCCAUUGAUGAGUGCAAAGAAAGAACCGCUAGGAUGCGUGCUUACAAAGAUGCCUUUAUUAAAGCGUGUUCUUCUAAUUCCUAUGAAAAUCAAGAUGAAGAUCUAAAGGUUAUUGAUGUGUCCCCUAUUAAAUCUUUGUUUUGCAAUAUGAAUCUUGAUGAAUCUGAUUAUGAUCUUCCCUUACCUAGAAGGCGUUCUAAGAAUUCUGAGUUUUUAGAUCCUGAUGAUGAAAUUGAUAAAAAAGGGAUUGAAAGAAAUAAAAAUCUAGAUAUUGCUAAACCCACUAUUUUGGAUCUCAAGGAAUUUAACUAUGAAAAUUGCUCUUUAAUUGAUUGUAUUUCCUUGUUGCAAUCCGUGUUAAAUUCUCCUCAUGCUUAUAGUCGAAUAAGGCCUUUACCGAACACAUUGUUGACGCCUUAAUGCAAUCUUAUGAAGAAAAGCUUGAGUUGAAAGUUUCUAUCCCUAGAAAACUCCAUGAUGAGUGGGAACCUACAAUUAAGAUUAAAAUUAAAAAAUAUGAGUUUCAUGCUUUGUGUGAUUUGGGUGCUAGUGUCUCUACUAUCCCCAAAGCUUUGUGUGAUUUGCUAGAUUUCCGUGACUUUGAUGAUUGCUCUCUAAACUUGCAUCUUGCGGAUUCCACUAUUAGAAAGACCAUGGGAAGAAUUAAUGAUGUUCUUAUUGUUGCAAAUACGAAUUAUGUGCCCGUGGAAUUUAUCGUUCUUGAUAUAGAUUGCAAUCCUUCAUGUCCUAUUAUUCUUGGUAGACCUUUCCUUAGAACGAUUGGUGCAAUUAUUGAUAUGAAGCAGACUAAGGCAUAGCCUAGUGGUGAGAAGGGGCUGAUUCCUUCCCACCCACCCAGGUUCAAGGCAUGGUACUUGCAAUUUGGGUUUGUUGCACCAAUUAUACUGUAAGGGGUUCCCUUACAGUCUUUCUGUCAAAAAAAAUUAUUGAUAUGAAGGAAGGGAAUAUUAAAUUCCAAUUUCCCUUAAAGAAGGGCAUGGAACACUUUCCUAGAAAGAAAAUAAAAUUACCAUAUGAAUCUAUCAUGAGAGCCACUUAUGGAUUGCCUACCAAAGAUGGCAAUACCUAGAUCUAUCCUUGUUGGGAGGCAACCCAAUUUUAUUUUGUGUUUUUUGUUUUUGGUUCUGUUUAGGAAUAAAUAAUCCAUCUAGAUUCUGUUUAGAUGUGGUUUCAUCUUUUAAUUAGUGUUUGUGCCAAGUUAAACCUAUUAGAUCUUCUUGGAAGAUAGUUAUUUGAUCUUGCUGUAAUUUCCAGAAUCUUUGCGCUCAAUGCCCGAAUUGUUAAAAAUCACCAGAACGUGAUAAAAUAGUGAUUCUAAUUGCUGCUGAUCGAUGAACAAAUUGCCCAGUUCGUCUAAUUUUGGUAGAAUUGUUUGGGUUCCAGAAGUUUGCGUUAGUAACAGAUUACUACAGACUGUUCUGUUUUUGACAGAUUCUGUUUUGCCUGUGUUGUUUGCUUAUUUUAAUGAAUCUAUGGCUAGUAAAAUAGUUUAUAAACCAUAGAGAAGUUGGAAUACAGUAGGUUUAACACCAAUACAAAUAAAUAACAAGUUCACUACAGUACCUUAAAGUAGUCUUUUGUUUUCUUUCUCUAACGGAGCUCACGAGAUUUAUAUUGAGUUUUGUGUUGUGAAGUUUUCAAGUUUUUGGUGAAUUCUUUUGAGGGAUUAUGGAACAAGGAGUGGCAAGAGCCUAAGCUUGGGGAUGCCCAUGUCACCCCAAAGAUAAUCCAAGGACACCAAAAAGUCAAAGCUUGGGGAUGCCCCGGAAGGCAUCCCCUCUUUCGUGCACUUCCAUCGGUAAUUUACUUGGAGCUAUAUUUUUAUUCACCACAUGAUAUGUGUUUUGCUUGGAGCGUCUUGUAUUAUUUGUGUCUUUGCUUGUUAGUCUACCACAAUCAUCCUUGCUGUACCCACCUUUUGAGAGAGCCAUGCAUGAAUUGAAAUUUGUUAGAAUACUCUAUGUGCUUCACUUAUAUCUUUUGAGCUUGAUAGUUUACACUAUGUGCUUCACUUAUAUCUUUUUGAGCGUGAUAAUUUUUGCUCUAGUGCUUCACUUAGAUCUUUUAGAGCACGGUGGUGGAUUGUUUUAAAGAAACUUGAUCUCUCAUGCUUCACUUAGAUUAUUUUGAGAGUCGUUAAUAGCAUGGUAAUUUGCUUAAUGUUAAUAUACUUGGUAUUCAAGAUAUGUGAAACUUUCUUUUUAGUGGGUUGAAUACUAAGAUAAGUUUGAUGCUUGAUAAUUGUUUUGAGAUAUGGAGGUGAUAAUAUCAUAGUCGUGCUAGUUGAGUAGUUGUGAAUUUGAGAAAUACUUGUGUUGAAGUUAGCAAGUCCCGUAGCAUGCACGUAUGGUUAAAGUUGUGUAACAAAUUUGAAGCAUGGAGUGUACCUGGCUUGUGCGUCCUUAUGAGUGGCGGUCGGGGACGAGCGAUGGUCUUUUCCUACCAAUCUAUCCCCCUAGGAGCAUGCGCGUAGUACUUGAUUUUUGAUGACUUCUAAAUUUUUGCAAUAAGUAUAUGAGUUCUUUUGACUAAUGUUGAGUCAAUGGAUUAUACGCACUUUUACCUUUCCGCCAUUUGCUAGCCUCUUCGGUACCGUGCAUUGCCCUUUCUCAAUUGAGAGUGUUUGCAAACUUCGCCGGUGCAUCCAAACCCCGUGAUAUGAUACGCUCUUUCACACAUAAACCUCCCUAGAUCUUCCUCAAAACAACCACCAUACCUACCUAUCAUGGCAUUUCCAUAGCCAUUCCGAGAUAUAUUGCCAUGCAACUUCCACCACCAUCAUCAUCAUCAUCAUCAUGACAUGCUUUACUUUUGUCAUAUUGCCAUUGCAUGAUCUUGUAAUUUACAUCGUAUUUGUGGCAAAGCCACCAUGCAUUAUUUUUCAUACAUGUCACUCUUGAUUCAUUGCACCAUCCCGGUACACCGCCGGAGGCAUUCAUAUAGAGUCAUAUCUUGUUCUAGUAUCGAGUUGUAAUCAUUAUGUUGUAAUCAAUAGAAGUGUGAUUAUCAUCAUUAUUAGAGCACUGCCCAAUCAAAAAAAAGAGAAAGGCCAAAAAAAAGAAAGGCCCAAAAAAGAGAGAAAAAAAAAGGCAAUGCUACUAUCUCUUUUUCCACACUUGUGCUUCAAAGUACCUAGAUAACCUCAUAACUAUGCUCAAUUCUAUCAAUUGCCACGGACGUGAUGCCUAUAUACAUGAUCAUACCUAGAUAACCUCAUAACUAUGCUCAAUUCUAUCAAUUGCUCAACAGUAAUUUGUUCACCCACCGUAGAAUAUCUAUGCUCUUGAGAGAAGCCACUAGUGAAACCUAUGGCCCCCGGGUCUAUUCUCACCAUAUCAAUCUCCAUUACUUUAUUUUACUUGUUUUGCUUUUACUUUUCACUUUGCAUCUUUAUACCAAAAAUACCAAAAAUAUUAUCUCUAUCAGAUCUCACUCUCGUAAGUGACCGUGAAGGGAUUGAAAACCCAUAAGCGUUGGUUGCGAGUUGCUACCGUUUUGUGCAGGUACGAGGGACUUGCGCGUGACCUCCUACUGGAUUGAUACCUUGGUUCUCAAAAACUGAGGGAAAUACUUACGCUACUGUGCUGCAUCACCCCCUCCUCUUCGGGGAAAACCAACGCUAGCUCGAGACGUAGCAUGAUGUAAUAGACUGAAGUCGUGGAUCUAGCUACAAAGAACACUACCAGGUAUCACUAGGUUCGGUAAAAAGGAUAAUGGAAAGGAAGAAAAGCAUCGAUGAACUACGAUGAACAGGGAAGAACAAGGAACUCUAAACAGGAGAUCUAGGGUUAUGAAAAGGAAAUUUACCAGGACCAUGAAGCAGCGGAGGAGCGUCGCCGGAGUGCUGGUACGAACAGGAUGAUGCAGCGGCCUUAGUCGGUGCGGAUUCGAAGAUCGACAACGGUGGCGGCAGCGCUGGAGUUCUUCGUGUCGCGAGGAAGAAGAAGGGCGCAAGGGGGAAAAUAGAAGGACCCCCGGCCCUAUUUAUAAAGGCAAGAGGAUAAACGGCAGGCGCGAAAAUCCAGGAGCCUGAAGCGGCAAAAGAGGGUGCAGCUGGCGCCUCGAUUUUCGGGAUAAUUAAGAGGAAGGGAUCUUUUUAUAAUCUUCUAUGAGGAAUGACGUCACAAUAAAUUACGUUAACAAAAAAGGAUGAUGUCACGACGGUUCACCAAACAUCCAUGGAAAGGUGAUGACAUGGCGGUUUAUGAAAGGCAUUUAAGGAGUUUUUCUUCUAAGGAUUGAAGAUUAACAUGAUCAAGAUCAAGUCAAUCUGGGGCCUAAUGUGGAGGAUAUAACUACUAAGGGUAAACCGUCCAGGAGGGGCUGGUUCACCUUUAGUUACUUUGAAGCCCAAGGAAAUUCAGGAGACGGCGCUUUACUGAUGAAACUAGGAGGCCCAGAGCCCAAGGGCGGAAUAGGGCCCAUGUUGGUAAACCACCAUGAUUGUACAAACUUGUGUAAUAAGAUAGGAACGGAGAGACCGAGGCGGACACUUGUAUGAGCCAACCUCGGGACUCUGUAAACCGGCCGGGGUCCUCCUGUGUAUAUAAAGGGGUGACCCGACGGCGGUUCAGGAGAGAGAACAACAACUCGAGAUCCAGGCAAGCGCAUUCGCUCCCUGAUCAUCGAACCCAAUCAAUUCCAUCACAACUAGACGUAGGCUUUUACCUUCAUCGAAGGGGCCGAACUAGUAUAAAACUCCCGUGUCCCUUGUCCGGUUUAACCCCUUCAAGCUAACCCGUAGCGAUGGCUCCGUGACUAAGUCCUUUCAAGAGGACAUCUGACGUGACAAUUCCACGACACUAGGGUUAGGUUUACCUUAAUUCUUCUUUCGUAGUUGUGAAUGCUUGCGAGAGGGGUUAAUCAUAAGUGGUAAGCUUGUCCAAGGAAGGGCAGUACCCAAGCACCGGUCCACCCACAUAUCAAAUUAUCAAAGUAACGAACGUGAAUCAUAUGAGCAUGAUGAAAACUGGCUUGACGAUAAUUCCCAUGUGUCCUCAGGAGCGGUUUGCUUUAUAUAAGAGUUUGUCCAGGCUUGUCCUUUGCUACAAAAAGGAUUGGGCCACCUUGCUGCACCUUGUUUACUUUUGUUACUUGUUACCCGUUACGAAUUACCUUAUCACAAAACUAUCUAUUACCGAUAAUUUUAGUGCUUGCAGAGAACACCUUACUGAAAACCGCUUGUCAUUUCCUUCUGCUCCUCAUUGGGUUCGACACUCUUACUUAUCGAAAGGACUACGAUAGAUCCCCUAUACUUGUGGGUCAUCAAGACUCUUUCCUGACGCCGUUGCCGGGGAGUCAAUCGCCUUUGGUAGGUUGAAUUUGGUAUGGAAAAAUUUAUAUAGUGUGCUUAAAUCGUCAAUGGAUCCAUGGUUGAUGGUUGUUUGAUUUUUCGAACCUCAUUGGGAGGAAAAGGCGGAAGACUGAUGGACUGCUGUGUUGUUUCAUGCAUACAAGAGGAUCUAAGCCCAAAGAUGAGUACUACAGCCCUCCCCACGCCACCCCCCGGCGACUGCGGUGGCUCUCGCCACUCCAAGAAUCCAACAUCAUCGGCGGCGGUCCGGUUUCACAGACCGGCGAGGCUGUUUAUCCCUCAGAGGCGCAGCUAUCAUUCAGGUGAACCGCUCGGCCUCACCCAUCUACACCCCCCUUCCCUUGGCGAUUGCAUUUAGAUCUCGAUUUGGCGUAUAAACUUACAAAUCCUUACCUGCUUAUCUAUCUCCCAGUAUCAAUGUCUGACUCCGCCGCCCGGGGCGAGAUUAGUCCUAACCAUACACUCCAAUUAGACCCUGUGGCGCUCAAACAAUCUGCAAGCAGAGCGUCUAGUUCAGUUUGUCCCUUAGAUGGCCUGCCACCAAAUACAACAUCCAAGAGCUCUGUCUGGCACGUUGUCACUGUCAUCGAGUAUUUUACCGUGUUUAAAUGCUGGUUAGUGAAAGAAAUAGGAUUUGGAGGAAUUAAUGCUUUAACUGCCAACGAUCCAGAAAUUAAACCUUAGGCUCAGGUCCUGGUGCAUGAGCAAGGUAGAUGUUCGGUGUAGAGCAAUAGUCAUCAGCAACACAAAUUUUCUAAAAUUCAACUGCACUUGUUAUGCUUCCAGGGGUUUUCUCAGAUUGCCCACUCAAAGCCGCAAUUGCCGCAAGAAGAUUCAGUUGACCAGCAUACCUGUAAUUUAGAAGACAUGUUCAGAACCCCUGCAACUUCCAAAAUACAUGGACUCAGGCUAGAUUUGUCUGACUAUGAGGGUAAUUUUUUUGUCGCAUGAUAACUUCAGUUUAAACAUUUCUAUGCCUCAACUGCAAACCAUUUAGGUAUACUUCAUACCAUGAUGCACAGGAGAGAGCUCUUCUCACAAACAGAAACCGCCUAAACGGAUGAGGCCAUCUGGCUCAACUUCACGCCCACAACAAUCUCCCCCCGCCCAAUGUCCCAACAACUAAUCUGGCAAUGAGCUUUGCACCAUCGAAGCAAUUUGUUACGUGGUCCAGCGCUAUGCAAAGUGCAUACCUGAUUCAGUUAAGGACAUAUACGCCGACGCUUGCUGCCUUGCUCCCACUGUACCACAUAAGUCAUAACUAUUUGCAGGCGCUUGCUCUAUCCGGCACAAGUGUUGCUGAUUUCCUAGAGAUACAGAAUCAGUUUGUUGGCCAAACAGUCAAGCACGCCAUUGAGGUGUCCCAACUGGUAAUAAUCCAUUUCUUUCAACUUGCUCCCACUGAUCCAGUUUAAUUUUUCAAUCACUGAAACACAAAUAUACCACAGAUUUGCAUCAAACAGCCGUGUAGUUCUACAUCCCAACAAUCAUACGUGACAGAUGGGCGUUGUAUAUUUGGUACAUGCUUACCAGGGUUAUACAAGUGUAUGACCCAGCAGGCUCGCCACGAGCUUAUUGCAUCUGGCCUGCAUGAUGCAUUGUUCGGGUGCUUAAACGACUUAUAUGCUGGGUGGCCAACCCCAAUAGGGUUUAUUACACUUUCUUCUUUUUCUUUUAUUAAACUUUUGUCUUUUUGUUUUAUUACACUUACGUCUUUUUUAUCCCUGUUAGUGAACUAUUCGGAACAUCCCUAUGCAAAAACCAUAUUUCUCACCACGUCUUCCAUUUCUCUCAUUUGCCAGAGUAACCUGAUGAAAACCAAGAGAAACUUACUUUCAAGAGGUGAUGAAGCUUUACGCCAACCAGUCAUCUUUGCCGUCCGAUGCAAUAUGGUCAGUCUAUGCUCCCACCAAAUGGGUUUGAAGACAUCCUGUGAUGACAGGCAUCUAGUGUCCGCCAAACUCUGUCUUUUGCAUGUCUAGUUUGUUGCUGAUUAGACGAUUAUGCACUUCAGCCAACUAUGUUGUACUGGAACACCGACCCUGUUUUAUCUACCCUUUCAUGAACCAGCUACCUAAUCAUACAACAAAUUACUAUUCGUCAUGUAUUUCAUCUUUGUCAUGACCUAUAUCACAUCUUGGUUCACCAUUUUUGGGCCAACACAUCCUUACCGGAGCAUUCCCUAUCUUUGAUUAAGUCCACCCGCUGCACAGAAUGUUUUAGUAGCAUAAACAUCCGUCCAAUAAUGCAUAACUUUUGUUUCCAAAUUAGCUUAUAUUUAUACCGCACUAACCCACAUAUUAUGGUUUCUCCCUAAAUAACACAGAUGACAUUUGUCUCCCCUAUUUUCUCUAUAAUAUAGAUAGAGACACCCCUCACGCAUGUCCAACAACAUCUCAAAUCACAACUUAAUUAGUUUGAACAUGCAUACUUAACUGGAUACACUUGUAGUUCAUACGUGCUACCAUGUCUCCACUCGAAACAGAACACUAUAAUUGGUUUAGUCUUGCCCAUGCAUGGCUCCUGAGAAAAAUAUUUUUCUACCUAGCAGCCAUAACCCAGCCAGACGAGUGCCCGCUUCUCACUCCCCUGCCCCUCCUGGCACGUGGGCCAGUAUAACGGAUGUCACCAUCGCAACCAGACACAUGUACCACGUGUACAGAGUACAUGUGCGUCAGAGCACGUUAUAGAGCCAACGCCCGUCCGCUCCAUCGUUAGCUUCCGUGUGUACGUACACAGUGUGGUGUCAGUGUAUACCUCAUUUUUAUUCCUGUAUUGCAGUGACAGUGACAUGCGGCACAGAUCUCAAAGCAUAUCUAGGCGGCUCAGAUUCCAGGUUCACCUGGACCCGGGAGCCAAAACGCCUCUCCCUAUACAGCAGACACCUGAUAUUUAUUUAUUUAUAACUGUGUAGUACAAUUACUAUUUCUGAGAUAGCAAGUGUGAUGGCUGCAAGAAUCCAUGCGGCACCAGCUACUACUGAUGAUACGACAUUGUCGGAGAAUAUCGAUGCCUUUUCUAAUGCACAACAAGAAUAUGAUCCGAUGACCAACAUUUAAAGUUUAAAAACAAGGUGGAAGGAGCGGCAGUUUGAGAGGAUCAGCAGAUGGAAGAAGGCACAAAGGUAACUUAGAGAAGCUAAUAAGUGUCUUCCAAUGCUCUCUUAUAAGUGUCUUGUAUUCUUCCAAUGCUCUCUUAUAAGUGUCUUGUAUUCUUCCAAUGCUCCUGAUCAGGGUAAUUUGAGAGGAUCAGCAGAUGGAAGUAAUAUUCUUGAGGUGAAUAAAUCUAUUCAAGUGAUAAGUGAUACGAAGCUCGUAGAUCAGUCUAUUUUUUUUGGCUAGCACGGAGAAGUCUGACAGCAUGCUACAGAAAUUUUAGGUUAUAAGGUUAUUCAGGAGCUGCUGUGAGAUGAUAAUGGGGACGUAGAUAGUUGUGUUAAGUGUUUAGCUUCAGUAAGUAGACCUAAUUAGCUGUUUUCCCCAUGUAGAAGUAGACCCAAACCUACGUGUUUGUAGUGCUUCAGAAACAGUGGAUCACUUAUUCCUUUUGCACCCUGUUUCCAAAUAUUUGUACAGUGCGACUGAGUGCAGACUGAACAUUCAGGUUGUUUUCUGUUUCUUUCUGUGAUUUGUGUGGUUCAAUUUCUGAAGUUUACUGGAGAUGUUAGAAAUUUGAUGGUUGUUGGACUAGUUGAUUUGGUUUGCACUACAAGGAACCUGCAAUAUCAGUUUCUAACUUUUAAAUGGUGGAUUGGAUCCUCAGGUACUAGACAGAAUGCUACGGCUGUGGACUCCGUCUGCUGAAUAUGUUGAAGUUGUACCAACAAGUUCCUCUGUACUUUUACUUCUAGUAGAUGAGCUUGUUUUCAUGUAUCCUGAUUUGGUGGUCCGGGUCCACUUUGACAUGCCUGAAUUUCAUACAACUUUACCAGGUCCCCCAUUCAGUUACAAUUACAGUUAUAGGAUCAUCUAUCUGUAUGUUGUUGGCAAUGUUAUAUGUUACUACAUUUUACAGAGUUUAUGUCAAUCAUCCAUCAAGAAUGGAUCUGUGUAUAAAAGCUCUUCCCUCCAAAACAUAUUAAUUGUCGUUGAUUUACUACAACUUUCUACUAAAUCAGUGACGAUUAAUAUGGAUCGGACAGAGUACUCUAAUAUGGACGGAGAGGUGGGCAGCCUCUUAUAUGGAGUAUAUAUACCCCAAUGUCUGAACUAAGAAUUGGUACAGCAAGUGGAUGUCUUGUUAGAGAAAGACAAAAAGAAAAAGAAAAUGUAGACUGCUCUGCUCCAGCGAUUUCAUCUGCUCUAGAAUGUGUUGCGAUAAAAAAUCAGGAUUCAGGAAGCCUAGCUUUUUCCUUUUUUGAGGGGUUCAGGAAGCAUAGCUGCCAUGCGUCUCUCCACAGGAGCCCAGGAUGGCACCGACGCCGGCUACCGCUACGGCUCCUGGUGACCUCCGCCAUCGCCUUUGGAAGAAACACAUGCCCCACACGUGUGCUCGCUCGAGUCACCGCGCGGAUCAGACGGCCACUGAAAAUUCAGAGACGAUUUGGUAAAAAAAAAUUUCUUUUUGGUGGCUCUGUUUUCUCAACUCUGCUCUGUCCUGCACUAGUUAGCUUCCCCUGCUUUUGCUCUGUUUUCUCAACUCUCAAUACUUUCCUGUAUCUUGAGGUUUCAGAGAUGAGAGAUGUUGCCUGCUGCUAUCUGCCCUCUCUUUCUUUUCAGUCCACCAUAAGUGCCUCAGCUCAAGCGCUGGGCUAGCUUGGUGCCAGCACGGCUGAAGUGGAGAGAGCGAAGAUCGAGUCCACUUACUGGACAUCUACAAACGGGGAAAACUCUAUCCAAUUCCAGUUUUAUAUAUCAUUGUUCUAACAUUCAGAUCCUUGACAUCAUCAUAACAGAUGUGAAACUAUAUAUGCUUGGAAAGAUUCUAAGUACUUGCCCUUGAUCCUGCGUUCCAUCAAUAUUAAGUUCUGCUUUUUUCGACAAAGACUGGAUUUUAUUCACUUAAAAUGGAGCAUGAGAAAAAUGCAAGCACAACAAGCACACACACAGCCUCUGCAUAACUAGGAUGCUCACAACCAACAUUAACACAUGCACAUAAAAACACGUCGAUAAAAUAGCAAAGCCAUAUAAGACCCAAAAUAAGUGUAGGCGAGAAAAAAAACAUCAAACGAUUAGAUCCGCGAUUGGUAAACUAGAGUAAUGAUCAUAUCCGCACCAACCAAACUAUGGAUGUACACAACGUUUUUAGCAUGAGUAUCAAGUUAAGCAUGCUCCUCAAAGAUUUUUAAUGAGUACCAAGAUUUUAUCUUGAUGAAUGAUCACAGCACACAUCAAGCUUGAUCCUCAAUAAAUGGGAAAAACCCCUGCACAUCACCUACUUAAGCUUGAUCCCCAAUAACUAUCGCGACUGCAGUAAGUGGUGUUGACAACGCACUGACUUCAAUUUAGUGGUGCUUUUGAGUACCAGUCUUGAGCUCUAGGGUGAACACCAGAGGUCUGACCCUAAUUUAGUUCAUAUAUAAUGUAGAUGUCUAUGUAUGCAUCUUUUUUUCUUCCUUCUUCCUCUUUUUUUUAUCGGGAACGAGGGUCGUCGAGGGUCGCCGAGCGGUAGAGAGGAAACCCUAAUUAAAUAGCAAGUAUCUUCGGUGUGAGAUACAUACGGCCGUCGGUGUCGGACACUACAUCCACGUCCCACAAGUGACGCGGGCGUCGAUGCCCACGUCACUUGUGGGACAUAGAUGUAGUGUUCAACGCCGACGCCGACGUCUCUUUCUUUUUUUUUCUAAAAUUUCUAUUUGAACAUUAUUUAAAAAAAAGCAAUACUACUUCAUGUAUUUUUAAGAAGGAAGAAGAAGAAAAAAGAAUGAAAGGAAAAAGGAAAUAAGAAGAGGAAGGAAGGAGAAGAAGAGGGGAGAGGAAGACGAGGAGAAAUAAAUAAGAAGAAGAAAAAAGAAGAAAAAGAAGAGGAGAAGGAGAAAGGAAUAGAGGAGAAGUAUUUUCUCUUCUUCUCCUCUAUUCCUNNNNNNNNNNNNNNNNNNNNNNNNNNNNNNNNNNNNNNNNNNNNNNNNNNNNNNNNNNNNNNNNNNNNNNNNNNNNNNNNNNNNNNNNNNNNNNNNNNNNNNNNNNNNNNNNNNNNNNNNNNNNNNNNNNNNNNNNNNNNNNNNNNNNNNNNNNNNNNNNNNNNNNNNNNNNNNNNNNNNNNNNNNNNNNNNNNNNNNNNNNNNNNNNNNNNNNNNNNNNNNNNNNNNNNNNNNNNNNNNNNNNNNNNNNNNAUGUCGUCGUUGUCGAUAUACCCCCUCCCGAUAGCUUCAACACGUGGGGGGGGGUCGAUAUUACCCCCUCCUUGAAGCAUUCUCGAGGCCACCCCUAACCCUUGAAGCGUUGUCGAGGCCACCCGAAACCCUAGAGAAGCAGCGUCGAGGCCACUAAUUAAUAUGAUUCCUUAUUGUGAUUAGCUAGCUAGUUCUACGUUUGCCACUAAUAUAUCCAUCUGUCAUGUUUGAAUAAUAAUUGCCAUGUUGUAAAUAUUUGUAGAAACUAUGGACACCCCCUGAGACGAAGCACAAGAAGCGUUGUUGAGGGACAUAAUCGCAGAAGGAAGUGAUGUCGUCUGCUCGUUGAUGUUUCCCAACGACACCGAUGGUCUGGAAGGAGAGGGUGAAGAAGCAGCUGACUAUGAUUAUGAUGGCUCCGGUGACCCAAUGCCGGUGCAAGAAGGAGACCGUGAGGACGGCUCCGGUGACCGAACCGAGUCCGGCCAGGUAUAUAUAUUAGUUAAGCCUGUGUUGACUAGCUAAUUGAUGCAUUCAUUGUUUUGGUAUGUACAUAUAUUAAUUAACUCUCAUCUUUGUUCUUUUUUCUAGCCCUCCGGAUCGAGCACAACUUCGGUGAAGAGACGAGGCCCGAAGAAAAAGUUGAGCUGGGAUGAAAGGUUUGAGAUCAUAGCAAUCGCGCGCGACGGCCAACCGAUUGAACCCAUCCGGACAAAGAACGCAUUUGUUGCUCAGUGCGGGGUUCUGGUUAGGGACAAGAUCCCGAUCAGCAUCCAUCAAUGGUUAAAGCCGGCUAAAGAAGACCCUGAGGUGUCUUAUGUCAAUGAUAUAUAGAAAAAUAAUCUUUGGACUGAGCUGAAGUCAAAUUUCACCCUACCGCCAGAGGAUGAUCUGGAGAAGCCAGUUAAAGAGCAAUUAAUCAAGUCUUUUGCUCUUAAGAAGAUGGUAGACCUAUUCAGGAGGUGGAAGAAAGACCUGAAUAGGUUUGUCGAUAAAAAAGAGACACCAGAAUUCAAGGGCAAAUAUGAGAAGAUCAGAGAUGACUGGCCCGCAUUUGUGGCCCACAAGACAUCAUUAAAGAGUAAAAAGAUGUCGGCGACAAACAAGCAAAAUGCUGCGAAGAAGAAGCUUCACCAUCGCAUGGGGUCAGGUGGCUACCUCGUAGCCCGGCCUAAGUGGGCCAAGGCUGAGAAUGAUCUGCUUUAUAAAGGGAUCUAACCAGAGACAAUGAAGUGGCCAGACCGUUGCCGGACUUGGUUCUUCGGGGCUGGCGGAACCUUGGACCUUGUAUCAGGGAAGUGCAUUUGGACGGACAAUCAAUUGGACAUACCAGUCAAGAGGCUUCAGCAAUAUAUUGAUGCAGCGCAGCAAGGGACGUUCGUUCCAGACAGAGAGAAUGAUGAGCUCACAAUGGCCCUCGGGAAUCCUGAGCACCCUGGACGGACACGAGGCACGCCAGACUCCGUUCCGUGGAAGGCUGGGUUUCCGGACGCAGGCGGUUACAAAUGCCAGGAGAGGAAGAAAAAAGUGCAGCAGACCGAACUGCAGGCGCUUAAAGCAAGGGUACAAGGGAUAGAGGAACGAGAAGCAAAUCGCAGCAAACGAACUAUCGAAGCUUCCCCCGAAGCUACCCCGCCAUCUCAGCGGAGAAGCAGCGUGGCUUCCACCGAGCUGCUUCAGCCGGAGCAUGUAUUGAUGGCUCCUGCCAGCUACCCCGUGGAUGCUAUCACGGAGUCAUAAAAUUGCCACCUUAUGACGCCAUGGAUUAAUAUGAAGGUCAAGGCGGCUGUUGGCUCUGUUUUUCCUACUGAACCCGGCGCAACUUUUCACUGCCGGUCGAUUCCAGAAGGAUAUGCUAGGGUGAUGGUGGAUGAAAUAACAGAGGGAUUUGAGGAGCUCUCGCUUGACCACCCUACCGGUAAAGGGGAGACUCGGCUGGGUUCUGCUCUGAAGACUCCAUGCCUAUGGCGGAAGGAUCUCAUCAACCUUCUGAACUGGACGCCUCUGCCUCCUCCUCCUCCUCCGGCGAGUCAGGGCACUCCGCCUCCUCCACCGCCUCCUCCUCCGGCGAGUGACGAUCAGGGCACUGGGCCGGCUCCUUCUCCGGCACGUGGCGGCACUCCGCCUCCUUCUCCGCCUGCGCCGGCGCGCCCGAGCAGCCAGCCUCCUCCUUCUCCGCCUCGUCAGCAAGGGCGGAAGAGACCCGCCGGCGCUCCGGCUGCUCCGGCGCGUCGUAGUCCUUCUCCUCCGCCUCGUAAGCAAGGAAAGAAGACAUCCGCUCCGUCUGCUCUGCCGGCGUCUAGCAGUACAGCCAAAGGCGGGAGGACAUACAGAUUCAGUCCUUCUCUGAAGACUCCAGAGAAGUUACCAUACGAGAUGACCCUGGAGGAGAACACGAAGAUCGCGCGAACCGAAGUGAAGGAUUGGUUUCAAGGGUUGAAAGCACAGAGACAUCCACCUCCGGAGGAGAAGGUAGAUCCGGUGAAAGCGAAGCGCACUCUGGCUGCCCUGACAAAACCACCCAAGUCUCCGCCGAAAGGCAACUAUGAGCGCAUUAUUGGAAAGGCAUUUGCCGAAGCGGAGCGGUCGGGAAGUACUGUCAGUGAUCAAAGGAUGAAAGAACGACAAGCUGGGAAACAAAUUGCCCAGCUCGGCGAACAAGCNNNNNNNNNNNNNNNNNNNNNNNNNNNNNNNNNNNNNNNNNNNNNNNNNNNNNNNNNNNNNNNNNNNNNNNNNNNNNNNNNNNNNNNNNNNNNNNNNNNNUCAUGUAUGAACAAUUUGUAAAUACACCAUGAACAUUUUUUAAAUAAAUGCUGCGCAUUUUUUAAUACAUAGUGAACCAUAUAUACACUAUGAGCAUUUUAUAAUACAUCUUGAAUAUUUAUAAAAUAGAUGGUUAAUAUUCAUGAAUUACUUGAAACUUUUUUAAGCACACGAUGAAAUUUUUUAAAAGGCGCAUUGAGAUUUUUUUUUUCACAUACACAUUGAUUUUUUUAAUAUAUGAUGAACAUUUUUACAUGCAGUGUUAUAUAUUGAAAAUCAUGGAAAACUGCUUUUAAGUUACAGAUACACCUUCUAUAUUCAUGGAUUUUUUUGGUUAUAUGAGAACAUUUGUUUCUAAAAUACAAGAAUAUAUCUCUUUGGUAUGAACACAUUUUUGUUAUACAAAAAGAAUUUUUCAAAUAGACAUGAACAUCCAUGCAAGAAAAUAGACAUGACACUUUCUAUAUACACGAAUAAUUUUUAAAAUACAUGGAUAUUUUAUUUUUAAAACCGGUGAUAUUUGUGUAAUUCACCCGAAACAUAAGUAUAUAGGGAUACUUGUUGGAAAAUGUAACAGGGAUACUUGUUUUUAAAUCCUUAAGUUUCUGUUCUGUGGCAGCUACUUUUGAUUGUCGCCGAAAACUGUUUAACAGUCUGAGGAAAAUAAAUUAAAAGCGAGUUGGAUUAUGAGGGGCGGUGCAUGGAAUAGGUGCAUGAUGUAGCUCAUGUAGGGCAACCCUUAGAUCCGGCUCAACUAGAUUAGUUUUAAAAGUUAUAAAUAUCCCUUUGCGUUUGCACAGUUUUCAGUGAUAAGUCUGUUCUGCGGUGGCCAAGAAAGAAGGGAUUUUUUUUCUUUACCCACACAUGGGCCCUAAAUUCCUGAUUGAUUUUUCUAAUUGGAGUUGUCGAAUAACCUGUGUUAAUUUGUUUCAUGAUCCAUCUGGUGUGAGAUUAAUGCUUAGUGCCUUUUUACGUGUUUCUUUUGACAUUGAAUGUGAUAUGCAUAAGUUGGUCUAUGGUAUUUGCUCACAUACCAAAGCACCUGUAAUGACUAGAAUCCAUUCAAUGAAAGAAGAUUUUAAAUAAUGCAUGUGAAUGAGGGAUGUCAUCAUUCAAUAUAUACCGACCGCCGCAAGUCUAUGUUGCGCUUGGUGAGAAAAUUUUCAAUUACUCAAACCAAUAUACUAAUCUAGAUAUUGUCAACAAUCUAGACAUUGUUUCUCAUCCGAUUGUUUCGUUGGCCGCGGACCGAGGUAUGUGCCAUAUGUGAUGUGAACCAGAUGUUGUCAACUCUGGCAUCACCUUGAUGUGGUCAUUAGAAUGCCGUUCCUAAGUAAAAGUUUUGUGUCAUUUAUUAAUCAUUUUGUUAGCAUCAUCCUUACAAGUUUAGAGUAGCGAGCCUUCAAAGCUUCAUCUUCCACCUUUUUUCUCACCUAUCAUCUCAUACAAACCGUAUUGCAUCGUUAUAUAUUUUUUCUAGACUCCCGUUGCAAUGCAUGGACAUUUGUGCUAGUCAUACCAAAACCAUGUAAAAUUAUUGUAAACAUGGCAUGAAUACUUUAUAAAUUAUAGAUAGGUUGGAGAUGUAUCACUUUCCAAUAUUGCGUCUAGCAUCAUUGAUGUGCAUGUCAAGAUGUGCGUCUGGUGGAUUAUUUGUCUUUGGUGGAUCUGCUCGAAUCAGGCUGUCGUUCAUUUACAUUCGUAUGUGUUCAGGUUGGAUUCUUUCGAUAUACACUAUUCGUCAUCAGUGGAGCUUGCUGUUCUGGUGCGCUAGUCCUACGGGACCUUAGCGCGAUUACUUACCGAGUGUCUAGUACAACAACUUUUUGCCUUGCUCCGGCAAGGGAGGGACGCUAUCGGCGGCGUGUCUUUCGGCUCGCUUCAGUGCUUGUAAUCGUUGCUAGGAGGUCUAUGAAACUAGACGAAAUUUUUAUUAUUUAUGAUGUUUGUUGUAUUACCAUGAUUGAAGAUGAAUAGAUCCAAAGUAAAAAAAGAAAGAAAAACAGUCAUGCUGAUAGGCUUGUCGCCGAAAUAGAACCAUCAACAAAUAGCUCGCGAACCAGAGCCAGAUAGAUAAACAAACCAAACCCAUGGCAGAUAGUACUGCUCCCUCAGUCCAGAAAUACUUGUCAUCAAAAUGAAUAAAAGGAAAUGUAUUUAGAUGUAUUUUAGUUCUAAAUACAUCUCUUUUUGUCCAUUUUGAUGACAAGUAUUUUUGGACGGAGGGAAUAGUAAUAAGUAGAUGAUGGGUUGCUAGAGUGACAGAAGCUUAAACCCUAGUUUAUGCGUUGCUUCGUAAGGGGCUGAUUUGGAUCCAUAUGUUUCAUGCUAGGUGUGGAGGAUAUAACUACUAAGGGUAAACCGCCCAGGAGGGGCCGGUUCACCUUUAGUUACUUUGAAGCCCAAGGAAAUUCAGGAGACGGCGCUUUACUGAUGAAACUAGGAGGCCCAGAGCCUAAGGGCGGAAUAGGGCCCAUGUUGGUAAACCGCCAUGAUUGUACAAACUUGUGAAAUAAGAUAGGAACGGAGAGAUCGAGGCGGACACUUGUAUGAGCCAGCCUCGGGACUCUGUAAACCAGCCGGGGUCCUCCUGUGUAUUUAAAGGGGUGACCCGGCGGCGGUUCAGGAGAGAGAACAACAACUCAAGAUCCAGGCAAGCGUAUUCACUCCCUGAUCAUCAAACCCAAUCAAUUCCAUCACAACUAGACGUAGGCUUUUACCUUCAUCAAAGGGGCCGAACUAGUAUAAAACUCCCGUGUCCCUUGUCCGGUUUAACCCCUUCAAGCUAACCCGUAGCGAUGGCUCCGCGACUAAGUCCUUUCAAGAGGACAUCUGACGUGACAAUUCCACGACAGUUGGCGUCCACCGUGGGGCUAUCGCACGAUGGUUUCGAGUUCUUGAAGGGCAGCUUCGAGGGACUCAAAGGGUACGUGGUUGGCCGGAUGACCAAGAGUCGUCGUGGCAAGCUCUACAUCGACGAUGUGGGAUGGGGCCCCGAGGCCGGCUCAAUCGAGUACGGGUACCGAGUCCCCUUUGGCGGAAUUCAUGUCUUCAUUGGUAAGAUCGGCGAACCAGGCCCUGAGCUGGACACCUGCACCGAUCUCGUCGAAACAGCUCAGCAUGCAAGCCCUGCCCGGAUCAAGCCUGCCGUGAAACAUGCGUUCAUGGGAUGCAUCUAUGGGACCAGAUUUGAACCGGCGUCUGAAGACGAGACGGUUGUCUAUUUCGACGGCGAGUCAUCCACCGGUGAAACUGAGUCCUUAUACCAAGUUCAUGAGGGCGGAUUCCAAGGGUAUUCCGAUGGCAACAGUAUUCCGGAACCCCUCGAACCGCCAAAUCGGGUUGCUAUCUACAUGGCCGGUACACAGCCCACUUUACAAUCGUUGGUGGCAGCCGCGGCAGGAGGUCCGGCGCACCGGCCGGUUCAAGUCCUUUCUGAUCUAAUGGAUGCUUGGACGUCUUGUUAUCUGCAACAGUUACCCCGGAGACGCGGGAUAAGCAUAAUGCGGAUGUUGCGAAGCUGAAGGACCAGAUAGUCCAGGCGAAAGAGGACCUAGCAGCUGAGGAUGCCAGGAUGGCUGAGGAACGAGCCAAUUUGGAUGCCCAGUCACAGCAGAUACAGCCGCAUAAUUAUCGGCUCAUGUUGGAUCAGAACGCAUCAAAUGAGGUAAUGUGGCGGAAGUAUCGAUCACGCAUGCCGUCAGUCUUUGAAGGUGCAAAUCUUUUUAAUACGCCGGGGGCCGGGACGAGUAAUCUGGCAGCCGUGAACCGGACCGACGCGCCUAGAGCGGCGCCGGAUCAGCCACGGAUAACAAAGCCACCUCGACGGACAGACAACCCUCCGCCGUAUGUACCAACCCCGCCGGGUCACUUCUCAAGCCCUUUGGACAAUAUGAUUGCUGCGGCAUCCCGACUGGCGGCUAUUCCAAUGGAGGGCGAUUCACUGGCGGCGAUUGAGAAACGGCGGGCCAGGGAUCUUCUUCAAACCGCCGUGGUACAACAGCAAGCUUAUUCUUAUAGCCGGGAUAGAAUUCAUUCAACCCCCCGCCCGAGCAAAAGCUACAGCAGGCACAUAGAUGAACCGGAGGUAUCUAGUAGCGCUAGGCGCCGUAAUGCGGUGUACGGUGAGAUGAAUGCUCAGGACGUGGUGGAUAAUGGCAGGGCGCGGAGGGAAGCCGCAUUGGCAGCGCCACAUGUGGGUCGUUAUCAAACCGCCCCGAUUCAGCUUGCGGCGUCGGUAGACCGGGGUACUGGGGUCGCCUUCAGCUCCUGGGGUGUGCGGUGUCUUAUUCCGGCCCUCUGUAAUGUGCGGUUACCCAAGGAUUUUAAGGGGCCGCAGAAGGUACCAAAUUAUACUGCUGACCAGCCACCUGAGGCAUGGGUUGAGAGUUAUGAGAUGGCAAUGGAGAUGCUGGAUGUGGAUCAAGCGGCUUGCGCAAAGUAUUUCACAAUGAUGUUGGAAGGGACAGCCCGUACUUGGUUAAAAAACCUGCCAGCCAACUCCAUCGAGUCAUGGGAGCAGCUAAAGGCCCGGUUUAUAGCUAAUUUCAAAGACACUUGCAAACAGCCUAUGUCCAUUGUGGAUUUGGAUGCCUGUGUUCAAGGGAAAAAUGAGUCAACAACUCAUUGGGUGCGCCGGGCUUCAUAAGUUCUGCAUUCGUCAGACCGGAUUAACGCUGGCCAGGCGAUCUUGACGCUGGAGCGCAAUUGCCGGUUUAAGUCACUUAAAAUGAAGUUGGGACGGCUCAAACGCCACUGCAAUGACAUGGGCACACUCAUGGCAGCCUUGGUCAAAUAUGCCGAUUCUGAUAAUACCAAGGAUCCCGAGUCUGAUGAAGAGAAACCGGAGAAGGGAAAGAAGAACGGCGGUGCAAAGGGACAGCAUCACAACCAGGGAGGCCAUGGGAAUAAUGGUAAGCGUAAAGCGGAUGGUGCGGAUUUUGUGGCUAACACCAAUACGCAGCGUCGCAAAGGUAAACCGCCCAGUGCGGUGGAGGGAUGAAUCUGGAGCGUUUGUUAAACCAGCCCUGUCCAAGGCAUGGGACUAAGGAGGCCCCUUCCACACACCUUUGGAAGGAUUGUUAUAUAAUGAAGGAGUUUAAGAACUCUGAUCUUUUCCGGUAUGAUCAGGGUCCGUCGGGCGGUUCAGGCCCCGGUUUCCAAAGCGGAGGCGGUUCAAACUCUGGUUUUCAGAACAACCAUGGUGGUAAUCAACAGGGGAAUCAAGGGGGUCAGCAGCAGUCAGGUUAUCAAAGUCACCCCAAGCAGUUAAACAGUGGACAGUAUCAUGUGUUCACGACUAGCAUGUGCAAGCGGGAUCAGAAGCUUCACAAGAGGGCAGUUAAUGCGGUUGAACCGGCCGUACCACGUUACUUACGUUGGUCUGAGCAGCCUAUUGUAUGGAGCAGAGAGGAUCAUCCACCCCGGGUUGACAAUCCGGGUCAACUAGCACUGGUAGUAGCACCUCAAGUGGGAGGUUACAAAUUCACCAAGGUCCUAAUGGAUGGGGGGAGCAGUAUCAACAUCUUGUACUAUGAGACUUUCCGUCGCAUGGGGUUGACAGAUAAGAAUCUUAAACCAUCAAAUACUGUUUUUCAUGGUGUCGUUCCAGGUAAAUCGGCAUACCCCGUUGGCAAGAUUGCUCUAGAAGUAGUGUUUGGAGAUGAGCACGAUUCCAGGUCCGAGACAUUGACCUUUGAGGUGGUGAAAAUCCAAAGCCCAUAUCAUGCACUGUUUGGACGGCUGGCUUACGCAAGGUUUAUGGCAAGGCCCUAUUAUGUGUAUUUGCAGCUAAAGAUGCCGGGUUACAAGGGGACAAUCACAGUGCAUGGAAGUCGAAAGAUCGCAUUGGAUUGUGAGGAAGGUGAAGCGGCCUACGCUGAAUCGGUUUGUGCUGCAGAAGAGCUGAAAUAUUAUAAGGACAAUGUUGAUCCGGCAGACAUGACACCCUUAAAGAAGCCUACAACUGAGCAUGACCCGGCCCUGAUGUUCAAACCGGCAAAUGAGACCAAGCUUGUUGACUUUGUCCCUGGUGAUUCAUCUAAGCAGUUUACUAUCAGCGCCAAUCUGGAUCCGAAAUAGGAAAGCGCGCUCAUCGAGUUCAUCCGUGAGAACCGGGACAUUUUUGCAUGGAAGCCUUCUGACAUGCCAGGUGUACCGAGGGAACUCGCUGAGCACACUCUCAAUAUUCACUACAAGAAAUCUGUUAAUACAUGACGGAUCCAAUCCAUCACGCAUAAGUGAAAAACUGUCAUGGGUGUCCAGAUAUGACGGAUAUGAAAUCCGUCAUGUAUAUCGCGUCAUAAUUUGACAUUGUACCUUCCUUGACGGUUCCUGGCCGUCACGGAUCUGCCCCAAGCCCGCCCAGGCCCAAACCAUUGUGACGGAGCAGACCGUCAUGGACAGCUGCCACAUAGGAUUUUCAAUUGCCACAUGGUUGCCUACGUGGAUACUAAUCUUCGUCAUAAAAUUCGUCAUGGAUUAUGUAAAUUAAAUCAAGCCCAUUAGCCCAUUUAUUUUGGCUUAAUUUUCACCCAGUAUGUUUUUGGCAUAAUGCAUCACACAAAUCCUAAUUCGAGUUUUGACCCAAGAGGAAGUAUUUGCAAGUGUCAAACAGUACACAGUUCAUCCAGUAUACAACCAUCUGUAUGUAUCAACGUAGCAGUUUAUAAAAUCCUCCAAAAUCCUCUAUGAAAUGGUAACUUACAACAUAGAUUAACAAAAUAUAUCACACAUCAAGGUUAGGAACCAGUACAAUCCAUGUUACAUCAACAAAACAUAUAAACUAUUGAGACUUGUUCAUGUUCUUGUCCUCAGCCCUUUGUGGCAACACCAUCAUGUCGUGGUUGAUUGUGAUAGGCAACACCAAGUAGCUCAUUACCUAGCAUAUUUACAAGAAUAUUAGAUAUACGAAUAGAUAGUACAAAAAAGAGAAUUACAGCAGAGAUUAAAAAAGAAUUACAUCUCCAAGAUUCUUAAAUCUUUAUACUAACAAUACUUGCUGCUGACUUGACCAUCAUAGUACUAUUAUUUAUAACAGGAAGCAGUAAUGAAAUGAACCGGUAUAUAUGUAUACAAGAUGACAGCUUGCACGAGAACUACAAAUUUAGUCUAUAUACAUGGCUUAAAAAUUACUUCACAAUUAUCAAGGUACAAGCCAAAUCAGAACACAAGAACAAAAGUUGAUGGCCACUCUAGUAGUGUAUCGAAGCAAAGCAAGGUUAUUAAGGUACAAGCGGAAGUCUGAAGUUUCUUUUCUUCAUUGGUUCAUCUUGUACAGAUUGCAUUCUCAGGCUAGGAGAACCAAAA